GACGAACGCUGGCGGCGUGCUUAACACAUGCAAGUCGAACGGAAAGGCCCUGCCUGCAGGGUACUCGAGUGGCGAACGGGUGAGUAACACGUGGGUGAUCUGCCCUGCACUUCGGGAUAAGCCUGGGAAACUGGGUCUAAUACCGGAUAGGAGCCAUUUUUAGUGUGAUGGUUGGAAAGUUUUUUCGGUGUAGGAUGAGCUCGCGGCCUAUCAGCUUGUUGGUGGGGUAAUGGCCUACCAAGGCGGCGACGGGUAGCCGGCCUGAGAGGGUGGACGGCCACAUUGGGACUGAGAUACGGCCCAGACUCCUACGGGAGGCAGCAGUGGGGAAUAUUGCACAAUGGGCGCAAGCCUGAUGCAGCGACGCCGCGUGGGGGAUGACGGCCUUCGGGUUGGAAACUCCUUUCGCUAGGGACGAAGCUUUUUGUGACGGUACCUAGAUAAGAAGCACCGGCUAACUACGUG
rnacentral:rRNA from 1 species